GGAGUUGUGGCUUAGUGGUAGAGCACUCGCCUACUGUGUGAGAAGCUCUGGUUUUGAUCCUCAGCAACACAU
rnacentral:tRNA from 1 species